AGAGAGUCAAAGAGACCGCGAAACCGUUGGGAGGGAAGCGCACGGCGGCGAGCCGUGUCCGCGGUGGGACUCAGCAUGGCGUGCUUGCACCUCGGGUGCCGUGGCGCCCGCUCCGGCGCGUCUUCUCGGCUUCGGUCAGGGAAGCGUCGGCAGCGGGAGAGCUGCGGUGCCGCCUGCGCAUUUUCCGCCCGGACUCGUCAGCGAGGAUCGCCUCGGGCCCAAAGGGCGGCGGGGUAGGUGAUCCGGCGGUGGCCUCGGCCCCGCUGGGAGCUUAUAGCCCGUCGUUGUGGCUGCGGUCGCGGCCCGAGCGUCGAUCGAGGUGUGUUGCGAGCGUUGUUCGCCGGAGUGGCCGGGUCGGCAAGGGCGGGCGUUUGCUCGCCUGUCGGCCCGGCUCCGACGCUGGCGUCGAGUCGCUGCCGUGCGACCCGUCUUGAAACACGGAA
rnacentral:rRNA from 1 species